GACGAACGCUGGCGGCGUGCCUAAUACAUGCAAGUAGAACGAGUUGCGAACGGGUGAGUAACGCGUGGUAACCUGCCUCAUAGCGGGGGAUAACUACUGGAAACGGUAGCUAAUACCGCAUACCAUCAGAUGUGCCCAGAUGGGAUUAGCUAGGUGGUGGGGUAACGGCUCACCAAGGCGACGAUCCCUAGCUGGUCUGAGAGGAUGACCAGCCACACUGGAACGGAGACACGGUCCAGACUCCUACGGGAGGCAGCAGUGGGGAAUAUUGCACAAUGGGCGCAAGCCUGAUGCAGCCAUGCCGCGUGUAUGAAGAAGGCCUUCGGAUUGUAAAGUACUUUAAGCGGGGAGGCGUUACCCGCAGAAGAAGCACCGGCUAACUCCGUGCCAGCCGCCGCGGUAAUAC
rnacentral:rRNA from 1 species